AACGCACAUUGCGCCCCUUGGUAUUCCAUGGGGCAUGCCUGUUCGAGCGUCAUUUGUACCUUCAAGCUCUGCUUGGUGUUGGGUGUUUGUCUCGCCUCUGCGCGUAGACUCGCCUCAAAACAAUUGGCAGCCGGCGUAUUGAUUUCGGAGCGCAGUACAUCUCGCGCUUUGCACUCAUAACGACGACGUCCAAAAGUACUUUUUUACACUCUUGACCUCGGAUCAGGUAGGGAUACCCGCUGAACUUAA
rnacentral:misc_RNA from 2 species